AUUGAACGCUGGCGGCAGGCCUAACACAUGCAAGUCGAGCGGACGAAGGGAGCUUGCUCCUGGAUUCAGCGGCGGACGGGUGAGUAAUGCCUAGGAAUCUGCCUUGCAGUGGGGGAUAACGUCCGGAAACGGGCGCUAAUACCGCAUACGUCCUGAGGUAGAAAGUGGGGGAUCAUCGGACCUCACGCUAUCAGAUGAGCCUAGGUCGGAUUAGCUAGUUGGUGUGGUAACGGCCUACCAAGGCGACGAUCCGUAACUGGUCUGAGAGGAUGAUCAGUCACACUGGAACUGAGACACGGUCCAGACUCCUACGGGAGGCAGCAGUGGGGAAUAUUGGACAAUGGGCGAAAGCCUGAUGCAGCCAUGCCGCGUGUGUGAAGAAGGUCUUCGGAUUGUAAAGCACUUUAAGUUGGGAGGAAGGGCAGUAAGUUAAUACCUUGCUGUUUUGACGUUACCAACAGAAUAAGCACCGGCUAACUUCGUG
rnacentral:rRNA from 1 species